AAGCCAGCUGGCCAAGGGAGCGGCCCUCGCCAUCCCCACCUUCCUGAGUGAAGCCUGCAGGACUCUGCUCCAGGACUGCCCAGGGAGGCUGAGCAAGAAGGCUGCUCUGAGAGCAGCAGCUGCCCAGCAGCUGAUAGGAUACAUGAUGGAGAAUUGAAGCCAGAG